CACGGGUGAGUAACACGUAUCCAACCUGCCGUCUACUCUUGGACAGCCUUCUGAAAGGAAGAUUAAUACAAGAUGGCAUCAUGAGUUCACAUGUUCACAUGAUUAAAGGUAUUCCGGUAGGCGAUGGGGAUGCGUUCCAUUAGAUAGUAGGCGGGGUAACGGCCCACCUAGUCUUCGAUGGAUAGGGGUUCUGAGAGGAAGGUCCCCCACAUUGGAACUGAGACACGGUCCAA
rnacentral:rRNA from 1 species